GGAGGGUGCGAGCGUUGCUCGGAAUCACUGGGCGUAAAGCGUACGCAGGCUGUUUCGUAAGUCGGGUGUGAAAGCCCGGGGCUCAACCCCGGAAUUGCGCCCGAGACUGCGAGGCUUGAAUGCGGGAGAGGGAAGCGGAAUUCCUGGUGUAGAGGUGAAAUUCGUAGAUAUCAGGAGGAACACCGGUGGCGAAAGCGGCUUCCUGGCCCGACAUUGACGCUCAUGUACGAGAGCGUGGGGAGCAAACAGGAUUAGAUACCCUGGUAGUCCACGCUGUAAACGAUGAGUGCUAGCUGCUGGGAAUGUUUACCGUCUCAGUGGCGAAGCUAACGCAUUAAGCACUCCGCCUGGGAAGUACGGCCGCAAGGCUA
rnacentral:rRNA from 1 species